UACGUAGGGUGCGAGCGUUAAUCGGAAUUACUGGGCGUAAAGCGUGCGCAGGCGGUUUUGUAAGCCAGUUGUGAAAUCCCCGGGCUUAACCUGGGAAUGGCAUUUGGGACUGCAAGGCUAGAGUGUGGCAGAGGAGACUGGAAUUCCUGGUGUAGCAGUGAAAUGCGUAGAUAUCAGGAGGAAUACCGAUGGCGAAGGCGGGUCUCUGGGCUAACACUGACGCUCAUGCACGAAAGCGUGGGGAGCAAACAGG
rnacentral:rRNA from 1 species